rnacentral:tRNA from 1 species
GGCAUAGUUCAGUGGUAGAACGUCGGUCUCCAAAACCGAAUGCCGGGGGUUCGAGUCCUCUUGCC